GACGGAGUAGUUCAAUCGGUUAGAACGUUGGAAUCAUAAUCCAGAAGUUAUAGGUUCAAGUCCUGUUUCCGUUA
rnacentral:tRNA from 1 species